UGACCGAUACGAUCAGCCAAGAGAUAGACACGAGCGAUACGAUAGGCCGGGGGGCAGGACCGAUCGGCACGACCAACCAGAGGACAGAGUCAAUGCACACGAUCGGCUAGAAGAGAUGGUCGAUGCUCGGGUAUCAGACGAAAAUCCCUUGGGGCGGAAGCCAGAAUGGGAGCGCGCCAAACUGUCGGCUAAACCAGUGAACCCCAGAUGGUGCCCUGAUGGAUUGACCAAAUCCCAAAAAUGAAGGAUCCAGUGUCUCCGCCAAUGGGAACAAUAGGAGGAAGAGCAAUGACAG
rnacentral:lncRNA from 1 species